rnacentral:misc_RNA from 1 species
CUGAUCAAAAACUCGUGACACACCUUUGACGUUGCAUCGGAGCAUAGCCUGUGAAUCGAAGUCGAACACAACCCUGACGUUGACGAAUACUAAUGAUGACAUGUCAUUAUAAUUACUCCUUUAUCCAGGUAAUUGCAUUCUUGGUCUCGAAAUGGAAAACACUCAGAGGAUCAGAGAGGCUACAGUCUCCAGACAUUUGCAAUUUUGGGGGCUGGACAAUGGAACUAAGCAACAGUGAAGCUACGUGUCAGUUUUAUUUGAAUAUGGAUACAGCG